AUUGAACGCUGGCGGCAUGCUUUACACAUGCAAGUCGAACGGCAGCGCGGGCUUCGGCCUGGCGGCGAGUGGCGAACGGGUGAGUAAUACAUCGGAACGUGCCCAGUAGUGGGGGAUAACUCGGCGAAAGCCGGAUUAAUACCGCAUACGACCUGAGGGUGAAAGCGGGGGAUCUUCGGACCUCGCGCUAUUGGAGCGGCCGAUGGCAGAUUAGCUAGUUGGUGGGGUAAAGGCCUACCAAGGCGACGAUCUGUAGCUGGUCUGAGAGGACGACCAGCCACACUGGGACUGAGACACGGCCCAGACUCCUACGGGAGGCAGCAGUGGGGAAUUUUGGACAAUGGGCGAAAGCCUGAUCCAGCAAUGCCGCGUGUGUGAUGAAGGCCUUCGGGUUGUAAAGCACUUUUGGCGGGAACGAAAAGGACUGUGCCAAUACCACGGUUCGAUGACGGUACCCGCAGAAUAAGCACCGGCUAACUACGUG
rnacentral:rRNA from 1 species